rnacentral:rRNA from 1 species
GGCGGCGUGCUUAACACAUGCAAGUCGAACGGAAAGGCCCUGCUUUUGUGGGGUGCUCGAGUGGCGAACGGGUGAGUAACACGUGAGUAACCUGCCCUUGACUUUGGGAUAACUUCAGGAAACUGGGGCUAAUACCGGAUAGGAGCUCCUGCUGCAUGGUGGGGGUUGGAAAGUUUCGGCGGUUGGGGAUGGACUCGCGGCUUAUCAGCUUGUUGGUGGGGUAGUGGCUUACCAAGGCUUUGACGGGUAGCCGGCCUGAGAGGGUGACCGGCCACAUUGGGACUGAGAUACGGCCCAGACUCCUACGGGAGGCAGCAGUGGGGAAUAUUGCACAAUGGGCGGAAGCCUGAUGCAGCAACGCCGCGUGCGGGAUGACGGCCUUCGGGUUGUAAACCGCUUUCGCCUGUGACGAAGCGUGAGUGACGGUAAUGGGUAAAGAAGCACCGGCUAACUACGUGCCAGCAGCCGCGGUGAUACGUAGGGUGCGAGCGUUGUCCGGAUUUAUUGGGCGUAAAGGGCUCGUAGGUGGUUGAUCGCGUCGGAAGUGUAAUCUUGGGGCUUAACCCUGAGCGUGCUUUCGAUACGGGUUGACUUGAGGAAGGUAGGGGAGAAUGGAAUUCCUGGUGGAGCGGUGGAAUGCGCAGAUAUCAGGAGGAACACCAGUGGCGAAGGCGGUUCUCUGGGCCUUUCCUGACGCUGAGGAGCGAAAGCGUGGGGAGCGAACAGGCUUAGAUACCCUGGUAGUCCACGCUGUAAACGGUGGGUACUAGGUGUGGGGUCCAUUCCACGGGUUCCGUGCCGUAGCUAACGCUUUAAGUACCCCGCCUGGGGAGUACGGCCGCAAGGCUAAAACUCAAAGGAAUUGACGGGGCCCCGCACAAGCGGCGGAGCAUGCGGAUUAAUUCGAUGCAACGCGUAGAACCUUACCUGGGUUUGACAUGGAUCGGGAGUGCUCAGAGAUGGGUGUGCCUCUUUUGGGGUCGGUUCACAGGUGGUGCAUGGCUGUCGUCAGCUCGUGUCGUGAGAUGUUGGGUUAAGUCCCGCAACGAGCGCAACCCUUGUUCACUGUUGCCAGCACGUUAUGGUGGGGACUCAGUGGAGACCGCCGGGGUCAACUCGGAGGAAGGUGGGGAUGACGUCAAGUCAUCAUGCCCCUUAUGUCCAGGGCUUCACGCAUGCUACAAUGGCUGGUACAGAGAGUGGCGAGCCUGUGAGGGUGAGCGAAUCUCGGAAAGCCGGUCUCAGUUCGGAUUGGGGUCUGCAACUCGACCUCAUGAAGUCGGAGUCGCUAGUAAUCGCAGAUCAGCAACGCUGCGGUGAAUACGUUCCCGGGGCUUGUACACACCGCCCGUCAAGUCAUGAAAGUUGGUAACACCCGAAGCCGGUGGCCUAACCGUUGUGGGGGAGCCGUCGAAGGUGGGACUGGUGAUU